AUACGGAGGGCGCAAGCGUUAAUCGGAAUCACUGGGCGUAAAGCGCACGUAGGCGGCGAGAUAAGUCGGGCGUGAAAGCCCUCGGCCCAACCGAGGAAUUGCGUUCGAUACUGUUUGGCUUGAGUCCUGGAGAGGGUGGCGGAAUUCCGGGUGUAGGAGUGAAAUCCGUAGAUAUCCGGAGGAACACCGGUGGCGAAGGCGGCUUACUGGUCCAUUACUGACGCUGAGGUGCGAAAGCGUGGGGAGC
rnacentral:rRNA from 1 species